UUGUUGGGGUUUAUUAGUAU
rnacentral:miRNA from 1 species